CAGCCGUAAACUAUGCUCGCUAGGUGUCAGGCAUGGCGCGACCGUGUCUGGUGCCGCAGGGAAGCCGUGAAGCGAGCCACCUGGGAAGUACGGCCGCAAGGCUGAACUUAAGGAUUGGCGGGGGAGCACAACAACGGGUGGAGCCUGCGGUUUAAUUGGACUCAACGCCGGACAACUCACCGGGGACGACAGCAAUAUGUAGGCCAGGCCGAAGACCUUGCCUGAAUCGCUGAGAGGAGGUGCAUGGCGUAGACGUCU
rnacentral:rRNA from 1 species